GAUGAACGCUGGCGGCGUGCCUAAUACAUGCAAGUCGAGCGAACAGACGAGGAGCUUGCUCCUCUGACGUUAGCGGCGGACGGGUGAGUAACACGUGUAUAACCUACCUAUAAGACGGGGAUAACUUCGGGAAACCGGAGCUAAUACCGGAUAAUAUAUUGAACCGCAUGGUUCAAUAGUGAAAGACGGCUUUGCUGUCACUUAUAGAUGGAUCCGCGCCGCAUUAGCUAGUUGGUAAGGUAACGGCUUACCAAGGCAACGAUGCGUAAACGAACUCAGAGAGUGAUCGGCCACCCUGGAACGUAGACACGGUCCAGACUCCUACGGGAGGCAGCAGAAUGGAAUCUGACGCAAUGGGCGAAAGCCUGACGGAGCAACGCCGCGUGAGUGAUGAAGGUCUUCGGUUCGUAAAACUCUGUUACUAGGGAAGAACAAAUGUGUAAGUAACUAUGCACGUCUUGACGGUACCUAAUCAGAAAGCCACGGCUAACUACGUG
rnacentral:rRNA from 1 species